rnacentral:tRNA from 1 species
GCCGGUAUAGCUCAGCUGGUAGAGCAUCUGAUUUGUAAUCAGAGGGUCGGGGGUUCAAGUCCCUCUGCCGGCACCA